GUACAGUCUCAGCCUCUGUCCUUGGCAACUUCUCCUUAUAUGAGAUCCUCUGCAUCAUCCUGGGAAUCCUUCUUGUGCUGAUGCUCAUUAUCUUGGGAACGCAGCUGGGCAGAUGGAGAGCAGGACGUCAAGCCUUCACCACUGAAGAUGCUUUUGAUGAGGCCUUGUACCAAGAGAUAGAGUACCUUGUGAAGGCAGAGAAGACGGAUUUGCUGGACAAAGCAGGAACUGUAUCUGAUGACUCACAAGCAAAGCUGUUUUAUUACACAGGAGAAAAUGAGCAGG